GGAGCGCUGCAGGGGCCCGCUAAGGGGGUAGCUGGGCUGGGACAGCUCCCGAAUCGACUCCAUGUACUCCUCCAGACUGUGGGCCUGAAGCUCGCUCUCCUGGAGCUCUGCGAUGGUGGGCAGCAGAUCCACCGAGGGCCGCCGCCUCCUGGGCUUCAUGCUGGAACCCACAGAGUUAUACAUAUUCCCACAGUGUGGACCGCAGAUCCUUGUCAAGGCUGAUUAAAGGACUCAUGACUGCUGUAUCAACACCGCUGUUUUCCUUCAGGCUUUCAGAACAGCUGACCAGCUUACCUCCGUAUGGAUGGCUUUCUCGCUGUUACCAGUUUGUCCAGUAGCUCGCCAUGUACACCUAAG